rnacentral:rRNA from 1 species
GUGGGGAAUAUUGGACAAUGGGCGAAAGCCUGAUCCAGCCAUGCCGCGUGUGUGAAGAAGGUCUUCGGAUUGUAAAGCACUUUAAGUUGGGAGGAAGGGCAGUAAGUUAAUACCUUGCUGUUUUGACGUUACCGACAGAAUAAGCACCGGCUAACUUCGUGCCAGCAGCCGCGGUAAUACGAAGGGUGCAAGCGUUAAUCGGAAUUACUGGGCGUAAAGCGCGCGUAGGUGGUUUUGUAAGUUGGAGGUGAAAUCCCCGAGCUCAACCUGGGAACUGCCUCCAAAACUGCAUGACUAGAGUACGGUAGAGGGUAGUGGAAUUUCCUGUGUAGCGGUGAAAUGCGUAGAUAUAGGAAGGAACACCAGUGGCGAAGGCGACUACCUGGACUGAUACUGACACUGAGGUGCGAAAGCGUGGGGAGCAAACAGGAUUAGAAACCCGUGUAGUCC